AUUGAACGCUGGCGGCAUGCCUUACACAUGCAAGUCGAACGGCAGCACGGGAGCUUGCUCCUGGUGGCGAGUGGCGAACGGGUGAGUAAUACAUCGGAACGUACCCUGAAGUGGGGGAUAACGUAGCGAAAGUUACGCUAAUACCGCAUAUUCUGUGAGCAGGGAAGAGGGGGAUCGCAAGACCUCUUGCUUUAGGAGCGGCCGAUGUCGGAUUAGCUAGUUGGUGAGGUAAAGGCUCACCAAGGCGACGAUCCGUAGCGGGUCUGAGAGGAUGAUCCGCCACACUGGGACUGAGACACGGCCCAGACUCCUACGGGAGGCAGCAGUGGGGAAUUUUGGACAAUGGGCGCAAGCCUGAUCCAGCCAUGCCGCGUGAGUGAAGAAGGCC
rnacentral:rRNA from 1 species